CAAACGACUCUCGGCAACGGAUAUCUCGGCUCUCGCAUCGAUGAAGAACGUAGCGAAAUGCGAUACUUGGUGUGAAUUGCAGAAUCCCGUGAACCAUCGAGUCUUUGAACGCAAGUUGCGCCCGAAGCCGUCAGGCCGAGGGCACGUCUGCCUGGGYGUCACGC
rnacentral:rRNA from 1 species